GGUCUGGUAGUUCAGUUGGUUAGAAUGCCGCCCUGUCACGGCGGAGGUCGCGGGUUCGAGUCCCGUCCAGACCGCAA
rnacentral:tRNA from 5 species